rnacentral:lncRNA from 1 species
GUGGCAGAAUCUGCAAAAACAGUUCCUAAUCGAAGUUGGUUCUGACAGGGAUCCUUCGAUGCUCAAAUCAAAUUUCUAUUCAACAGAGGAAGAAAUAAAUAUUUUGAGAGAGAAGAGAUUGCAUACCUUGAGGAUCCCUCUUUAAAUCUUUAUUUAUAAGUGGAAGCUAAAAAAUCAAGAAAAAGAACGUAGUUGGUAGAGAUCUUUUCGCCCUCAAUUGAAGAUCUUUAAAAAUCCUAUUGGCUUUCUAAUUUUUUAGGUUUGAUAGAUAGUAUCAUUUUUUAGCACGUAGAGCCCAUCUCCAUUAAUGGUAUAGAUUGACAACCAACUAUUUUGAGAAUGGAGUCUUUUUUUUUUGCUCCUGAUUAUUUUUAUAUUUUAAUAGAAUAAUGUAAUAGAAUCAGGAUCAAGUCUGAUAUAGUUUUGCGUCCCCAUAUGCCUUAUGUUACGAAAUUACCCUCCAACAUUAUGAAUAACCAAGUUUGAGACGAAUCAAGAUAUCAAUUCAUUUUAACCAAAUGGCAAAUGACAAAAUUUGGAAAGAAAUAAGGGUUCUUUAGACGGUAUGCCUAUUGCGCGAGUUGGUUAUCAUUUGAAAUCUAAUAAAAUAAUAGCAUACCUUUCUAGAAUGAUCGAGCCCGUCUGUCCGAUUCCCAUGAUCGCAUCCUCCGACCGUGGUAGGGUGCUGUGCAGGUCUGAAUAGCCGCCACGUCGUCCCAAGAC